rnacentral:rRNA from 1 species
GAUCAAGUGUCUUAAGGGCAU